GAGGGUAUAGCUCAGUGGUAGAGUGCAUGCUCAGCAUGCACAAGGUCCUGGGUUCAAUCCCCAGUACCUCCU
rnacentral:tRNA from 1 species